UACGUAGGGUGCGAGCGUUAAUCGGAAUUACUGGGCGUAAAGCGUGCGCAGGCGGUUUUGUAAGCCAGAUGUGAAAUCCCCGGGCUUAACCUGGGAAUGGCAUUUGGGACUGCAAGGCUUGAGUUUGGCAGAGGAGACUGGAAUUCCUGGUGUAGCAGUGAAAUGCGUAGAUAUCAGGAGGAAUACCGAUGGCGAAGGCAGGUCUCUGGGCUGAAACUGACGCCCAUGCACGAAAGCGUGGGGAGCAAACAGG
rnacentral:rRNA from 1 species